rnacentral:rRNA from 1 species
UGGGGAAUAUUGCACAAUGGGCGGAAGCCUGAUGCAGCAACGCCGCGUGAACGAUGAAGGUCUUCGGAUCGUAAAGUUCUGUUGCAGGGGAAGAUAAUGACGGUACCCUGUGAGGAAGCCCCGGCUAACUACGUGCCAGCAGCCGCGGUAAUACGUAGGGGGCUAGCGUUAUCCGGAUUUACUGGGCGUAAAGGGUGCGUAGGUGGUCUUUCAAGUCGGUGGUUAAAGGCUACGGCUCAACCGUAGUUAGCCUCCGAAACUGGAAGACUUGAGUGCAGGAGAGGAAAGUGGAAUUCCCAGUGUAGCGGUGAAAUGCGUAGAUAUUGGGAGGAACACCAGUAGCGAAGGCGGCUUUCUGGACUGCAACUGACACUGAGGCACGAAAGCGUGGGUAGCAAACAGG